rnacentral:rRNA from 1 species
AUGGGCGACGAUGAUAGCAAGACCAAGCAGCUUGCGCUGGGAGGCAGUUCGGCGGUGAAGAAAGAAACCUUACCCCCGACGACCUUCCCGCGGCUAGAGGGAGAGGACUAUGCUAUGUGGGCGAUCAAGAUGGAGUGCGCCAUGGAGGCUCACGAAAUAUGGGAUGCGAUCGAUCUUGGAGGCGAUGCAUAUAAGAAGGGAGGUACAGAAUAUAAGAAGGAUCGGCAGGCCAUGUCUGCGAUCUACUCUGUCAUCCCCAAUGAUGUAGCACGUCAUGUAUCCGGGAAGAAUACAGCAGCAGAAGCUUGGGAGGUGAUCAAGGAACUUCACCAAGGGCACAGCCGUGUUCGUGAGGCUCGUCUGCAAUCUCUGUUGAGUGAUUAUGAAAGUGUGAAGAUGGAUGAAAGUGAAUCCGUGGAUAAAUUUGCCAUGAGGGUGGUUGAGAUCACCAGCUCCAUCAAGGACCUUGGAGAGACUUUGACAGAUAUCGCGAUUGUACGUCGCUUCCUCCGUGCUGCAGCACCACGAUACAUGUAG